rnacentral:snoRNA from 1 species
CCUUCGCUGAUGAGUGACCACUUGACUUUCGUUCUUCUGAGCGCGCUGAAGCGACGUUUAUCGAUCUGAGGAGG